rnacentral:rRNA from 1 species
AAAUUAAGCAUAUCAAUAAGCGGAGGAAAAGAAACUAACAAGGAUUCCCCUAGUAACGGCGAGUGAAGAGGGAUCAGCCCAAAUUUGUAAUCUGGCUCUUUUCAGAGUCUGAGUUGUAAUUUUGAGAACUGUUUUCUGCUCUGGACCAUGUACAAGUCUGUUGAAAUGCAGCAUCAUUGAGGGUGAGAAUCCUGUUCAUGAUAUGGACUACCAGAGCUUUAUGAUAUAGUCUCUAAGAGUCGAGUUGUUUGGGAAUGCAGCUCAAAGUGGGUGGUAAAUUCCAUCUAAGGCUAAAUAUUGGUGAGAGACCGAUAGCAAACAAGUACCGUGAGGGAAAGAUGAAAAGAACUUUGGAAAGAGAGUUAACAGUACGUGAAAUUGUUAAAAGGGAAACAGUUGAAGUUAGACUUGUUGUUGUUGGUUCAGCUCUUUUAAGGGUGUUUUCUAAUAAUUAACAAACCAAUGUCAAUUUUUGGGUGUUGGAUAAGGGUUAUUGAAAUGUAGCAGUUUUGGCUGUGUUAUAGUCUUUGACUUGGAUACAAUGCUUAGGAUUGAGGAUUGCAGUAAGCCAUUUAUUUGGUGGAACAAUUUAUUGUUCUUCUUGCUGAGGAUAUUGGUGAAAUAGCUUUAAUUGACCCGUCUUGAAACACGAA